GGCGUCGACGAGCGCGAGCGGCGGAUGAUAGAGUAGAAAUACUCGGGGCGAUCCGUCGAAACAUUUAUAACUGGUAGGUUAAACUACCAGCUAUAAAGGCCCCGUUAGAAGGAAGAGGUGGUUUCGGUUAUCGGACUAUUUCUUCGCUGCCACAUCGACACUCGCCUCGCAUUCGGAGUCGGAGGCUCUUAGCGAUCUAAACGGUCUAUGCCCUUAGAUAGUUAGGCCGUGGGAAACCAUUGGACCCUUAUCUCCGAGGUAAUCGUAUACAGAUGCUUCGGGAGGCUUACAAGCCUAAGGAUCUCAUUGUCCCUCCAGAUAGUCUCUAUGUUAGCGACUAUCUGGCGUGGAUUACUGAGUAUACC
rnacentral:sRNA from 1 species